CCUUUGAAACCAGGGCCAUCGUUGCCGUUCCCCUCAUUGUUGUCGAGGAUGUCUACACCUUUUGACUUUGUUGUCAGGUGCUUCAUAGCAAAGGAAGCGGCAAGACGGCAAUCGGCAAGGUAGCCCUUGUUUCGAGUGUGCAGGUUUUCACGGGACCACUUCCAUAGCUGCUCUGCCUGUGAACGGAAUCCGGUAUUCACAGUGUUUCGCGCGAGGUACAUGGCGGCAAUGAUGGCCGGGAAGUUCACACAUGCAUUUUUGGUUUUGACAGGAUCAUUGUACUUCCACCAAAGACCACCGCCCAACGAAUCGUCAAACCCUCUUCUCCAGACCUCGUUGAACUGCACUUGCGCUUGAUGAAGGAACUCCUGGUUGGUUUUGCCUGUCAGCUCAUAGCCUCGUACCAGGGCGAUGACCCCCCACAUAAUGUCGUCGUUGAACAUGUUCCAGGAAUGCCAAUGGGGGGUGCCGCUCACGAUUUGGUUGAGCCCAUUCACAAGUUCGGUGAUCAUCCCCUGGUACACCGUUUUCAUAGGGGAGCUUCGUUUUGCAGCAUCUUCGAGUGCUUCGAUCUGCUCGCACGUCGUCCAAAAGUUGCCUCGCCCAGGUUUUCCGCGCUUCGCAGUAUUCACGCAAUAGUAGCCGACCAGAUUCGAGUCCUUGUUAUAAAAGGCAUUGUUGUAUGCCUCAAUUGCCGAGUUUUUACUUUCUUCGCUGAACGGCAUCGCUAGAAGCGUAUUGCCACUGACGACAAGCGUGUGGUGAAACAAAAGCAAAAUUAGGACCACCAUCCACAUUGAGAUAACAGAGCCCAUCAAUGUGGAGGAGAGAAUGGCGCAGAAGGUGAAAACAAUGACACAGACAAUUACAAGCCAACAAGAACGAUGGACCCCAAAUUGGAGAGACUAAGAAUCCCUCAAUUGCUGUUUCCAA